AGGACGAACGCUGGCGGCGUGCUUAACACAUGCAAGUCGAGCGGUAAGGCCCUUCGGGGUACACGAGCGGCGAACGGGUGAGUAACACGUGGGUAACCUGCCCUGUACUUUGGGAUAAGCCCGGGAAACUGGGUCUAAUACCGGAUACGACUCACGGACGCAUGUCUGUGGGUGGAAAGUUCUGGCGGUACAGGAUGGGCCCGCGGCCUAUCAGCUUGUUGGUGGGGUAACGGCCUACCAAGGCGACGACGGGUAG
rnacentral:rRNA from 1 species